rnacentral:rRNA from 1 species
CCUACGGGAGGCAGCAGUGAGGAAUAUUGGUCAAUGGGCGGGAGCCUGAACCAGCCAAGCCGCGUGAAGGAAGAAGGCGCCAGGCGUCGUAAACUUCUUUUGUCGGGGAACAAAGGGCGCCACGCGUGGCGUUGUGAGUGUACCCGAAGAAAAAGCAUCGGCUAACUCCGUGCCAGCAGCCGCGGUAAUACGGAGGAUGCGAGCGUUAUCCGGAUUUAUUGGGUUUAAAGGGUGCGUAGGCGGUCCGGAAAGUCAGCGGUAAAAGCCCGGGGCUCAACCCCGGCGAGCCGUUGAAACUGUCGGACUAGAGACGGCGAGAAGUACGCGGAAUGCGCGGUGUAGCGGUGAAAUGCAUAGAUAUCACGAGGAACCCCGAUUGCGAAGGCAGCCUGCCGGGGUGCGACUGACGCUGAGGCUCGAAGGUGCGGGUAUCAAACAGGAUUAGAUACCCUUGUAGUC